GACGAACGCUGGCGGCGUGCCUAAUACAUGCAAGUAGAACGCUGAAGGAGGAGCUUGCUUCUCUGGAUGAGUUGCGAACGGGUGAGUAACGCGUAGGUAACCUGCCUGGUAGCGGGGGAUAACUAUUGGAAACGAUAGCUAAUACCGCAUAAGAGUAGAUGUUGCAUGACAUUUGCUUAAAAGGUGCAAUUGCAUCACUACCAGAUGGACCUGCGUUGUAUUAGCUAGUUGGUGGGGUAACGGCUCACCAAGGCGACGAUACAUAGCCGACCUGAGAGGGGGAGCAGCCAAACUGGGAAUGAGACACGACCAAGACCCCAACGGGAGGCAGCAGUAGGGAAUUUACGGCAAUGGACGGAAGUCUGACCGGGCAACGCCGUGUGAGUGAAGAAGGUUUUCGGAUCGUAAAGCUCUGUUGUAAGGGAAGAACGAGUGUGAGAGUGGAAAGUUCACACUGUGACGGUAACUUAACAAAAAGGGACGGCUAACUACGUG
rnacentral:rRNA from 1 species